UACAGGGGGUGCAAACGUUGCUCGGAAUCAUUGGGCGUAAAGCGCACGUAGGCGGUUCGUUAUGUCGGAUGUGAAAGCCCUUGGCUUAACCGAGGAAGUGCAUCCGAAACUGGCGAGCUAGAGUACUAAAGAGGAUCGCGGAAUUCCCGGUGUAGAGGUGAAAUUCGUAGAUAUCGGGAGGAACACCGGUGGCGAAGGCGGCGCACUGGACCAUAACUGACGCUGAUGCGCGAAAGCUAGGGGAGCAAACAGGG
rnacentral:rRNA from 1 species